rnacentral:rRNA from 1 species
UACGUAGGGUGCGAGCGUUUGUCCGGAAUUACUGGGCGUAAAGAGCUCGUAGGUGGUUUGUCGCGUUGUUCGUGAAAACUCACAGCUUAACUGUGGGCGUGCGGGCGAUACGGGCAGACUGGAGUACUGCAGGGGAGAACGGAAUUCCUGGUGUAGCGGUGGAAUGCGCAGAUAUCAGGAGGAACACCGGUGGCGAAGGCGGUUCUCGUGGGCCGAUGAUUGACGCUGAGGAGCGAAAGCGUGGGGAGCAAACGGG